rnacentral:rRNA from 1 species
GAGUUUGAUCCUGGCUCAGAGCGAACGCUGGCGGCAGGCCUAACACAUGCAAGUCGAACGGAUCCUUCGGGAUUAGUGGCGGACGGGUGAGUAACACGUGGGAACGUGCCUUUUGGUUCGGAACAACUCAGGGAAACUUGAGCUAAUACCGGAUGUGCCCUUCGGGGGAAAGAUUUAUCGCCAUUAGAGCGGCCCGCGUCUGAUUAGCUAGUUGGUGAGGUAAAGGCUCACCAAGGCGACGAUCAGUAGCUGGUCUGAGAGGAUGAUCAGCCACACUGGGACUGAGACACGGCCCAGACUCCUACGGGAGGCAGCAGUGGGGAAUCUUGCGCAAUGGGCGAAAGCCUGACGCGGCCAUGCCGCGUGAAUGAUGAAGGUCUUAGGAUUGUAAAAUUCUUUCACCGGGGGACGAUAAUGACGGUACCCGGAGAAGAAGCCCCGGCUAACUUCGUGCC